UACGGGGGGAGCAAGCGUUGUUCGGAUUUACUGGGCGUAAAGGGCGCGUAGGCGGCCACCGCAAGUCAAUUGUGAAAUCUCCGGGCUUAACUCGGAAAGGUCAACUGAUACUGCGGGGCUAGAGUGCGGAAGGGGCAACUGGAAUUCUCGGUGUAGCGGUGAAAUGCGUAGAUAUCGAGAGGAACACCUGCGGCGAAGGCGGGUCUCUGGGCAGUAACUGACGCUGAGGAGCGAAAGCGUGGGGAGCGAACAGG
rnacentral:rRNA from 1 species